rnacentral:rRNA from 1 species
GAUGAACGCUGGCGGCGUGCCUAAUACAUGCAAGUCGAGCGAACAGAUAAGGAGCUUGCUCCUUUGACGUUAGCGGCGGACGGGUGAGUAACACGUGGGUAACCUACCUAUAAGACUGGGAUAACUUCGGGAAACCGUAGCUAAUACCGGAUAACAUUUCGAACCGCAUGGUUCGAUAGUGAAAGAGGGUAUUGCUAUAACUUAUAGAUGGACCCGCGCCGUUUUAGCUAGUUGGUAAGUUAACGGCUUACCAAGGCGACGAUACGUAGCCGACCUGAGAGGGUGAUCGGCCACACUGGAACUGAGACACGGUCCAGACUCCUACGGGAGGCAGAGGUAGGGAAUCUUCCGCAAUGGGCGAAAGCCUGCCGGAGCAACGCCGCGUGAGUGAUGAAGGUCUUCGGAUCGUAAACCUCUGUUAUUAGGGAAGAACAUACGUGUAAGUAACUGUGCACGUUUUGACGGUACCUAAUCAGAAAGCCACGGCUAACUACGUG